UGCCAGCCGCCGCGGUAAUACGGAGGGUGCAAGCGUUAAUCGGAAUUACUGGGCGUAAAGCGCGCGUAGGCGGUCUGGUCAGUCAGAUGUGAAAGCCCCGGGCUCAACCUGGGAACUGCAUUUGAUACUGCCAGACUAGAGUGUAGUAGAGGGAAGCGGAAUUCCGAGUGUAGCGGUGAAAUGCGUAGAUAUUCGGAGGAACAUCAGUGGCGAAGGCGGCUUCCUGGACUAACACUGACGCUGAGGUGCGAAAGCGUGGGGAGCAAACAGGAUUAGAUA
rnacentral:rRNA from 1 species